GAUGAAGAACGCAGCGAAAUGCGAUAAGUAAUGUGAAUUGCAGGAUUCAGUGAAUCAUCGAAUCUUUGAACGCACAUUGCGCCCGCCAGUAUUCUGGCGGGCAUGCCUGUUCGAGCGUCAUUACAACCCUCAGGCCCCCGGGCCUGGCGUUGGGGAUCGGCGGAAGCCCCCUGUGGGCACACGCCGUCCCUCAAAUACAGUGGCGGUCCCGCCGCAGCUUCCAUUGCGUAGUAGCUAACACCUCGCAACUGGAGAGCGGCGCGGCCAUGCCGUAAAACACCCAACUUCUGAAUGUUGACCUCGAAUCAGGUAGGAAUACCCGCUGAACUUAAGCAUAUCAAUAAGCGGAGGA
rnacentral:misc_RNA from 1 species